UCCCGUGUGGCUCAGUUGGUAGAGCAUGGUGUUUGCAACGCCAGGGUAGUGGGUUCGAUUCCCACAGGGGAC
rnacentral:tRNA from 1 species